CUGAGAUUGUUAGAAUAUCUAGCUUUUGUGACUUUCUUCGUUCUCUCGACGGAAGAUCAGGAAACAAGGAAACAAAUCGGUUUAAACUCACAUUGCUGUCCGUGAGAAGAGUUGACCCGAAGAAAGAGCAGGACGAUUGCGUAGCCUCUUCACGUACCCCGGGUGUAAUUAUUUCGUUUAAAUCACCAUUCUGAGAGAAAUUAUUACAUGUCCAUCAUUUUCUGACUGCUCAUAUUGUGAUUUUUUGAAGGCAGGAAAUCUUAACAGGACUUUCUGACUUUAUCCCUGAUCCAAGGGUUAUUUUCUUGAACCGAGGAAACUCUAUACAAGGUAAGAGGACUUGCUCCUCUUUUUUUCUCCCAUUUUUGAAACUUGCCUUCAUUUUGUCAAUCUGUAAAUAACCCUUUCACUCCCAUGAGUGACCAAGACAGAAUUUCUCCUUACAAUAUCAACACAAUAUCAACCAGGUACAUGUAAGUGAUGAGAGUGAAGAAAAAUAUAAAUUUGGGGAUAAUUAGUUGAUCCAAUACUAAAUUCUCUGAACUAACAUAACAAGAAUUGUACGGUUGGGAGAAAGGAGAAUUACAAAUUUGAUGUGGGAAUUAAAGAGUUAAUAAUUUAUU